AUUGAACGCUGGCGGCAGGCUUAACACAUGCAAGUCGAGCGAGCGGCGGACGGGUGCGUAAUGUCUUGGAAACUGCCUGAUGGAGGGGGAUAACUACUGGAAACGGUAGCUAAUACCGCAUACCAUCAGAUGUGCCCAGAUGGGAUUAGCUAUUAGGUGGGGUAAUGGCUCACCUAGGCGACGAUCCCUAGCUGGUCUGAGAGGAUGACAAGCCAAAAGGGAACUGAACAACGGUCCAGACGCCUACGGGAGGCAGCAGUGGGGAAUAUUGCACAAUGGGCGCAAGCCUGAUGCAGCCAGGACGCGGGUGUGAAGAAGGCCUUCGGGUGGUAAAGCACUUUCAGCGAGGAGGCGUUACUAGCAGAAGAAGCACCGGCUAACUCCGUGCCAGCAGCCGCGGUAAUAC
rnacentral:rRNA from 1 species